rnacentral:rRNA from 1 species
UCAUCAUGCCCCUUAUGACCUGGGCUACACACGUGCUACAAUGGUUGGUACAACGAGUUGCGAGUCGGUGACGGCGAGCUAAUCUCUUAAAGCCAAUCUCAGUUCGGAUUGUAGGCUGCAACUCGCCUACAUGAAGUCGGAAUCGCUAGUAAUCGCGGAUCAGCACGCCCGCGGUCCGAUACGUUCCGGCCUU